rnacentral:lncRNA from 1 species
GCCCUAGUAGUCGGUGGCUGGUCGGUGACUGGGACCAGACCGUCGCCUCCUCCCUUUUACAGCUUUAAGUCUGUGACCCGAGGCCUCUCUGUAUAUUCCCGUGGGGUUGGGCCUAGUUGUCCUGGGAGAAACUAGAUGGAUGAGGAGUAUUUCCGAGACAGGUCCCAGGGCCAGCGCAGCCUUUUCUGUUGCAGAACCGCGACUGUUGUUUUGGGAUCCAGGCCGGAGGGUUUGUUGCUUGUGUUCAUUCCAGUUAACCAUUAGUACUCGAGAAGGUGGUACAGAACGCAUCUAUCCCCUUAGAAGAAAAGAAAUUAAAAGCCAAACUAAACUGGGAUAUAUAUUAAUAUAGGAAACUACCACUGAGACAUAGGAAAGUGUAUUAAAAUAUAACUAGUGAGGUGCUAUGUAUAAUUCAGAGGAAGGGGAAAUUAUGCAUGGGCCAGACUACUAACAAAAGGCUCCAAAGCCUGGGAUACGCUGAGGGCCUUUCCAUAACAGAAAAUGAAAAGGAACCUAAAUUUGAGACUAGAUUUGAGGAAAGGCACAGUUGCGCUGGAGUAGAAAGCGUCUGUCUACCGCAGUGGAAAGUAAGUUUUCGUAAAUGCAGACUAGCUCCAGGGUGAGGACAGAAUCUAGCUUUUAAAUCAGUAUAAUCUCUCUUCUUUUACAUUUGAAAAUCUCUGCAGCGAUAUGUUAUUGUAUCCCCAGCACCAUACAAAGGACAUACAAGGGCCAAAUACUGUGGGAAUAUUUAUUAAUGAUAUUAAUGAUGAUGCUGUCCGGGCCAAAGGAAAACUUCCGCUUCACCUUCUGAAGUUUCGCUGAAAGUCACUGACAGGAGGCAGUUAAUAGGAGAAAAGACAUAGACAUUGAUUUGACCAUCGUUUUAUGUGACACGGGAGCCUUCAGAAUGAAGACCCAAAGAUAACAAGGGAAAUCGUGUAUUUGUAUGCUUAGGUUCAACAAAGCAUGGACAGCCGUAUAAAAAAAUGACUGGACAAGGCCGGGCGCGGUGGCUCACGCCUGUAAUCUCAGCACUUUGGGAGGCUGAGGCGGGCGGAUCACAAGGUCAGGAGAUCGAGACCAUCCUGGCUAACACAGUGAAACCCCGUCUCUACUAAAAAUACUAAAAAUUAGCCAGGCGUGGUGGCGGGCGCCUGUAGUCCCAGCUACUCAGGAGGCUGAGGCAGGAGAAUGGCGUGAACCCGGGAGGCGGAGCUUGCAGUGAGCCGAGAUUGCGUCACCGCACUCCAGCCUGGGCGACAGAGCGAGACUCCGUCUCAAAAAAAAUGACUGGACAAAAAACACUCUGAUGCAAACAGGCAAGAAACCCAGCAAGGCCUAUCUGGAUUCUCCUUGGCCUGUCUGCAGCAUUCAUUCCUUCUGGGUAUGGAACAGGACCCUCUGGAAUGGGGGCUGUGGCCUACAACAGUUAAACAAGUGAACUAAAGGGCUCCCAAAAUCUCUCCUGCAGCAUUUUCCUUGAGAAGGAGGAAGGUUUGCAUCUCUGUGAGAAGAAACAUCAGAAGCAGUUGAAAGACCAGGAUGUGGGUCCUCUGGGGCUGAGGAGGCAUUCUGAAUCAACUGUGUGUUCUACACCUGUGUUUUAACUGUGACCUGUCACAUGAGGACAAGUGUGGAAUUUCCCACUUUUGUGCCAUAAAUCUCUCUCUGGGAACAGUGUGGAAGAUGGAUUGAAAUGGUGUAAAAUUGAAGAUGUGGACUCCGGUUGGGAGACUACACCCUAGAUAAGAUGAAGAGAACUUGAAGCAAGACAAUAGCAAUGGGAAUAUAAAGGAGAGGAGACAUUUGAGUGAAAUUAAGGAAGCACAAUCUGCAGACUGUUUUCUUUUUUUUAAGAGUCAGGGUCUCCCUAUUUUGCCCAGGCUGGUCUCAAAGUCCUAGGCUCAAGCGACCCACCCACCUCAGCCUUCCAAAAUGCUGGAAUUACAGGGGUGAACUGCCUCACCAUGCCUCAGUCUGCAGAAUUUGAUGACUGAAUGUAUUUGGAGAGAGUCUGUGGCUUGGAUGACUGGGCUCCCAACAGAUUGGAUGAUGCCCACACACAUUGAGGCGGCCAACCUGCUUUACUGAAUUCACCAAUUCAAAUGCUAACCUCAUCUGGAAACACCCUCGCAGACACACUCAGACACAACGUUUAAUCUGGGUGCCCCUUGGCCAGUCAUGUUGACACAUAGAAUUAACCAUCACAGGAGUUACAUCUGGUGUGAAAACCACAAAGAAAUCAGGAAGGAUGAAAACUGUGGUGGACAUUUUCUCUUUUGACCACACUACCUCUUUUUUCCCCCCUUCUUUUGGAGAGAGAGAAUUUCCACUUAACUCUUCCCCCAAUGUGUGCACCUGUGCUAAGACUCUCAGGGCAUUCUGCACUGCUCACUCCAAGCCACCAGGAGCUGUGAUUGGUUGAUUGAUUUUGAGGCGGAGUUUCACUCUUGUUGCCCAGGCUGAAGUGCAGUGGCACAACCUCUGCUCACUGCAACCGCUGCC